AUUGAACGCUGGCGGCAUGCCUUACACAUGCAAGUCGAACGGCAGCACGGGAGCAAUCCUGGUGGCGAGUGGCGAACGGGUGAGUAAUAUAUCGGAACGUGCCCAGUCGUGGGGAUAACGUAGCGAAAGCUACGCUAAUACCGCAUACGAUCUAUGGAUGAAAGCGGGGGAUCGCAAGACCUCGCGCGAUUGGAGCGGCCGAUAUCAGAUUAGGUAGUUGGUGAGGUAAAGGCUCACCAAGCCGACGAUCUGUAGCUGGUCUGAGAGGACGACCAGCCACACUGGGACUGAGACACGGCCCAGACUCCUACGGGAGGCAGCAGUGGGGGAAUUUUGGACAAUGGGCGCAAGCCUGAUCCAGCAAUGCCGCGUGCAGGAUGAAGGCC
rnacentral:rRNA from 1 species